UACAGAGGUCUCAAGCGUUGUUCGGAUUCAUUGGGCGUAAAGGGUGCGUAGGUGGCGUCGUAAGUCGGGUGUGAAAUUUCGGAGCUUAACUCCGAAACUGCAUUCGAUACUGCGGUGCUUGAGGACUGGAGAGGAGACGUGGAAUUUACGGUGUAGCAGUGAAAUGCGUAGAGAUCGUAAGGAAGACCAGUGGCGAAGGCGGGUCUC
rnacentral:rRNA from 1 species